GCAAAGAACGUCCUCUCGUUUCCAUAGGAACCUCGACCCCGAGUAAUCCGGACAGUUACUCUGAGCGGUUUGUUAGAAUAUUGCUCCCUCAGAUACAAAGGAGGUAGGACCGGGUUUGCAGACAAUUACAGGGACAAAGUGGGGAACUUACCCUGCUACCCGGGACCAGCACUGCCAAAUUCUCCUGGGUGUCCUGGAGUCCACGCGCUCCCGGGGCCUCGGCGUCCUGAGGAGUUCGGCGAGACCAGAGUUUGGCUUUCUGACCUGUAAGGUGCCUCUCGCCUUGAGCCAAUUUCUAAAUCUUGUCACCCUCCAGAGGAGGGCCUACGCGGCACACACACAGGUACUCCUCGGGAACGAGCAGACAGUGGGCGGGGAUGGUGGGUCAAGUUGAGUGAACGUGGAAGUAGAAUCCUGCCUGGGAGGAGACCCGUGCUAGAUGUCUCCAAAGAAGUCCGAACCGCAGGCUGAUCCCCAGUUUCAGUAUUCGUCCUUGUUCCGCCCAGUACAAUUGGGUUUGCGCUGGAAUAGGAGACAAAUUCCUUUAUUUCAUUUAACAGAAGUUUCAGUCUCUGUAAAAUAAGGAAGGUACUUGAGCUGUGGUGGUGCACAUCUUAAGAAGAAAUUGAUCUCUCUGAGUUCAAGAUCAGCCCGACACACACACACAUCGAGUCCAGGCCAGCCUCAAAAAACAAAACAAAACAAAAUAAAAUGGCAUUCAAAUC
rnacentral:lncRNA from 1 species